AUGCCACCGCGACGCUACAAGAGCAUGUGUGAAUAUUUAUGUCGCUGCAUUCGCCCAGCCAAACCCUACCCCCCCAUUCGCUCCCUCUCCUCGCUCCCUGCUCUCGUUCUGAUUGAGCCCGACGCGGUCGUCACCAUGGCCUCCGCUGUCCCUGCGGCCAACACCACUGAUGGACCUCCCCGCCGUAUCCAGACACUCCGUGAAGCUCUCCCUCGUCUCCACGCCGAAGCAUCGAUCAAGGGAGCACCGCAUCACCGUCCCUACUGCUGCUUCAAGUUUGGCCCAGGCGGCGUUCGCCUUCGAUUCGGCGCCCACGUCACCUAA
rnacentral:rRNA from 1 species